UACGUAGGGUGCAGGCGUUAAUCGGAAUUACUGGGCGUAAAGCGUGCGCAGGCGGUCUUUUAAGUCAGAUGUGAAAUCCCCGGGCUUAACCUGGGAACUGCGCUUGAAACUGGAAGGCUAGAGUGUGGCAGAGGGGGGUGGAAUUCCACGUGUAGCAGUGAAAUGCGUAGAGAUGUGGAGGAACACCGAUGGCGAAGGCAGCCCCCUGGGCUAACACUGACGCUCAUGCACGAAAGCGUGGGGAGCAAACAGG
rnacentral:rRNA from 1 species